rnacentral:rRNA from 1 species
UACGAAGGACCCGAGCGUUAUCCGGAUUUAUUGGGUUUAAAGGGUGCGUAGGCGGAAUGGUAAGUCAGUGGUGAAAUCCUGUUGCUCAACAACAGAACUGCCAUUGAUACUACCAAUCUUGAGUACAUAUGAUGUGGGCGGAAUGUGCCAUGUAGCGGUGAAAUGCUUAGAUAUGGCACAGAACACCGAUUGCGAAGGCAGCUCACAAAAUUGUCACUGACGCUGAGGCACGAAAGCGUGGGGAUCAAACAGG